rnacentral:rRNA from 1 species
UACGUAGGGUGCAAGCGUUUGUCCGGAAUUAUUGGGCGGUAAAGAGCUCGUAGGCGGUUUGUCGCGUCUGCUGUGAAAACCCGAGGCUCAACCUCGGGCCUGCAGUGGGUACGGGCAGACUUAGAGUGGCGGUAGGGGAGAUUGGAAUUCCUGGUGUAGCGGUGGAAUGCGCAGAUAUCGGGAGGAACACCAAUUGCGAAGGCAGCUCGCUGGGACGCAACUGACGCUGAGACGCGAAAGCGUGGGGAGCGAAACACGG